UCCCUGCUGGCUCAGAACGGUAAAGAAUCUGCCUGCAAUGCAAGAGACCCAGGUUCAAUCCCUGGGUGGGGAA
rnacentral:tRNA from 1 species